UACGAAGGGGGCUAGCGUUGCUCGGAAUCACUGGGCGUAAAGGGUGCGUAGGCGGGUUUUUAAGUCAGGGGUGAAAUCCUGGAGCUCAACUCCAGAACUGCCUUUGAUACUGAAGAUCUUGAGUCCGGGAGAGGUGAGUGGAACUGCGAGUGUAGAGGUGAAAUUCGUAGAUAUUCGCAAGAACACCAGUGGCGAAGGCGCUCACUGGCCCGGUACUGACGCUGAGGCGCGAAAGCCAGGG
rnacentral:rRNA from 1 species